rnacentral:rRNA from 1 species
AGAGUUUGAUUCUGGCUCAGAACGAACGCUGGCAGCGUGGAUUAGGCAUGCAAGUCGAACGAGAAUCCGUUGUUUCAAGUUUUCGGACGAGAAACGGCGGAGGAAAGUGGCGGAAGGGUGAGUAACGCGUGGGUAACCUGUCUCUGAGUUGGGGACAACUCGGCGAAAGCCGUGCUAAUACCGAAUAUGGUCGUCCUAGGCAUCUGGGAACGACUAGAGGUGGGGAUUCUUCGGAACCUGCCGCUCAGUGAGGGGCCCGCGUCCCAUCAGCUUGUUGGUGAGGUAACGGCUCACCAAGGCUUACGGGUAGCUGGUCUGAGAGGAUGGUCAGCCACACUGGGACUGAGACACUGCCCAGACUCCUACGGGAGGCUGCAGUCGAGGAUCAUUCGCAAUGCGCGAAAGCGUGACGAUGCGACGCUGCGUGGAGGAUGAAGGCCUUCGGGUCGUAAACUCCUGUCAUGAGGGAAAAACCACACGGGCGCCAAUAACGUCUGUGUCUGAUGGUACCUCAAGAGGAAGCCACGGCUAACUCUGUGCCAGCAGCCGCGGUAAUACAGAGGUGGCGAGCGUUGUUCGGAUUUACUGGGCGUAAAGGGUGCGUAGGUGGCUCGAUAUGUCGGACGUGAAAGCCCGCGGCUCAACCGCGGAAUUGCAUUCGAAACUGUCGAGCUAGAGUACAGGAGGGGAGAGUGGAAUUCUUGGUGUAGCGGUGAAAUGCGUUGAUAUCAAGAAGAACACCGGUGGCGAAGGCGGCUCUCUAGAAUGUUACUGACACUGAGGCACGAAAGCUGGGGGAGCAAACAGGUUUAGAUACCCUGGUAGUCCCAGCUGUAAACGGUGUGCACUUGGUGUGGGGGGUAUUGACCCCCCCCGUGCCGGAGCUAACGCGUUAAGUGCACCGCCUGGGGAGUACGGCCGCAAGGCUAAAACUCAAAGAAAUUGACGGGGGCCCGCACAAGCGGAGGAGCAUGUGGCUUAAUUCGAUGCAACGCGAAGAACCUUACCAGGGCUUGACAUGCAGCUGCACGGCCGGUGAAAGCCGGUUUCCUUAGAGGGUGCUGCACAGGUGCUGCAUGGCUGUCGUCAGUUCGUGCCGUGAGGUGUUGGGUUAAGUCCCGCAACGAACGCAACCCUUGUGUCUAGUUGCUACCGUAGGUGAUGAGCCUGCGCGCACUUUAGACAGACUGCCCGUGCAAGCGGGAGGAAGGUGGGGACGACGUCAAGUCAGUAUGGCCCUUACGCCCUGGGCUGCACACGUGCUACAAUGGUCGGUACAGAAGGAUGCAAUACCGCGAGGUGGAGCAAAUCCCAAAAGCCGGCCCCAGUUCGGAUUGGAGUCUGCAACUCGACUCCAUGAAGCCGGAUUCGCUAGUAACGGCGUAUCAGCUACGGCGCCGUGAAUACGUUCCCGGGCCUUGUACACACCGCCCGUCACAUCAUGAAAGCCGUCUGCACCCGAAGUCGCCGAGCUAACCCGCAAGGGAGGCAGGCGCCGAAGGUGCGGGUGGUGAUUGGGAUGAAGUCGUAACAAGGUA